rnacentral:lncRNA from 1 species
UAUUUGACAGGAGAGAUGGGGCCUCAGGCUAUGAAACUGCUGAUGCUGAAUUCAGGCUGCCAGGCCCACCUGCAGUGGCAACUGCAAAUAUUUCCAACAUCAGACAGUUCUGUUCUAGGUGAAAUGCCACACUGAGUGGUGAAUACAUCAAUUCGGCUUUCCCUUAGUGGUGGGUAGGGAGGCAAGGAGGGCAAACAAUGAUCAGUCUUCCAUUUGGAGCUAGGAUCAUAUUCAUGCAUAGGAAGAAAGAACCUCACAUAAGGAUCCCAAAUUGGCAGUGCUCAGAUCUCUGCCAAAGCAGGCCCAAGCCAGCAUACCAGCAGCGCCUGGAGUGACAACAUCAUCACUGAGGAGAAGUUACUGGGCAGUGACAUAGAGAUUCUCCCUCUCUGGUAGAAGAGGACCUCAGUGACCACCAUGGAUAAAGAAGCAAGUCACCUUAACACUCUGUCAGAAGACAGGGAGGUGAGUGUAUG